GACGAACGCUGGCGGCGUGCUUAACACAUGCAAGUCGAGGGUAGCAAUACACUGGCGCAAGGGUGCGUAACGCGUAGAUUAUCUGCCCCAUACACUAACAUAACGCUUGGAAACGGGUGCUAAUAUUAGAUGAGGUGCUUCGGCAUCAAAGUUUCGACGGUAUGGGAUGAGUCUGCGUCUGAUUAGCUAGUUGGUAGUGUAAUGGACUACCAAGGCGACGAUCAGUAGCUGGUCUGAGAGGACGAUCAGCCACACUGGAACUGAGACACGGUCCAGACUCCUACGGGAGGCAGCAGUGAGGAAUUUUGCGCAAUGGACGAAAGUCUGACGCAGCGACGCCGCGUGUGGGAUGAAGGGGCUACGCCCUGUAAACCACUGUUAGAUGUGAAAAAAAGAUGGCUUUGCCGUCCGGGAUUGUAACAUCAAAGAAAGGACCGGCUAACUACGUGCCAGCAGCCGCGG
rnacentral:rRNA from 1 species